UCAAAUGACUUGCAGUCUUGACAGACAGGACGGCAAUUCACCCACACACCAUCAACCAAGUGAAUGACUAUCUGAACUCGGCUCGGCUUCAUCGCUCUCAGUGGUGAAGAUGGAUUGCAUUCGUAGAGAUGAAGAGCGGGAGAAAAAAUUUAAAACAUCUGGGGUUUUUAGAGCGAGUCCAUGGGAAAAGAUCUCUCGGCAAGGAAAGACGUUUUAUCAUUUGGAGAAAUGAAUGCACUGCAUGAUCCUCCUCACUCACUGUUUAGUUUGUCACUUCCAGAUCAACAUAAGGUGUUGGAUGGUGGAAGGGUGUUGCGAACGAAGGACGAAAAGUGGACAGCGGGGGGUUGUCAUGGACGAAAGUGAAGAGGGUUGGUGAGUCGCGGAAGAGAUUGAAAGUGAACAGCAGAAGGGUGAAGGGUAGUUGAGGAGGGGAUCGCUAAAAUCAGUUGGUUCUGGAUCUGGCGUGUUCCGUCACAAAUUAAGCCCUGACUAAAACACUGGUUAUCUCACAAGCUGCUG
ensembl:processed_transcript